rnacentral:rRNA from 1 species
AACCGGAUUAGAUACCCUGGUAGUCCACGCCGUAAACGAUGUCGACUUGGAGGUUGUUCCCUUGAGGAGUGGCUUCCGGAGCUAACGCGUUAAGUCGACCGCCUGGGGAGUACGGCCGCAAGGUUAAAACUCAAAUGAAUUGACGGGGGCCCGCACAAGCGGUGGAGCAUGUGGUUUAAUUCGAUGCAACGCGAAGAACCUUACCUACUCUUGACAUCCACGGAAUUUGGCAGAGAUGCCUUAGUGCCUUCGGGAACCGUGAGACAGGUGCUGCAUGGCUGUCGUCAGCUCGUGUUGUGAAAUGUUGGGUUAAGUCCCGCAACGAGCGCAACCCUUAUCCUUUGUUGCCAGCGAUUCGGUCGGGAACUCAAAGGAGACUGCCGGUGAUAAACCGGAGGAAGGUGGGGAUGACGUCAAGUCAUCAUGGCCCUUACGAGUAGGGCUACACACGUGCUACAAUGGCGCAUACAAAGAGAAGCGACCUCGCGAGAGCAAGCGGACCUCACAAAGUGCGUCGUAGUCCGGAUCGGAGUCUGCAACUCGACUCCGUGAAGUCGGAAUC